rnacentral:rRNA from 1 species
AUACGGAGGGUCCAAGCGUUAUCCGGAAUCAUUGGGUUUAAAGGGUCCGCAGGCGGUCAAUUAAGUCAGAGGUGAAAGCCCAUCGCUCAACGAUGGAACUGCUUUUGAUACUGGUUGACUUGAGUUAUACGGAAGUAGAUAGAAUAAGUAGUGUAGCGGUGAAAUGCAUAGAUAUUGCUUAGAAUACCGAUUGCGAAGGCAGUCUACUACGUAUAUACUGACGCUGAGGGACGAAAGCGUGGGGAGCGAACAGGAUUAGAUACCCUAGUAGUCC